rnacentral:rRNA from 1 species
AGCGGCGGACGGGUGAGUAAUGCCUAGGAAUCUGCCUGGUAGUGGGGGACAACGUUUCGAAAGGAACGCUAAUACCGCAUACGUCCUACGGGAGAAAGCGGGGGACCUUCGGACCUUGCGCUAUCAGAUGAGCCUAGGUCGGAUUAGCUUGUUGGUGAGGUAAUGGCUCACCAAGGCGACGAUCCGUAACUGGUCUGAGAGGAUGAUCAGUCACACUGGAACUGAGACACGGUCCAGACUCCUACGGGAGGCAGCAGUGGGGAAUAUUGGACAAUGGGCGAAAGCCUGAUCCAGCCAUGCCGCGUGUGUGAAGAAGGUCUUCGGAUUGUAAAGCACUUUAAGUUGGGAGGAAGGGCAGACAGCGAAUACCUGGUUGUCUUGACGUUACCGACAGAAUAAGCACCGGCUAACUCUGUGCCAGCAGCCGCGGUAAUACGGAGGGUGCAAGCGUUAAUCGGAAUUACUGGGCGUAAAGCGCGCGUAGGUGGUUUGUUAAGUUGGAUGUGAAAGCCCCGGGCUCAACCUGGGAACUGCAUCCAAAACUGGCAGGCUAGAGUAUGGUA